GUCUAUGGGCAUACCACCCUGAAGGGGCCUGAUCUCGGAAGCUAAGCAUGUUCCGGCCUGGUUGGUACUUGGAUGGGCGAACCACUGGAAUAUCGGGGGCUGUAUGCU
rnacentral:rRNA from 1 species